rnacentral:rRNA from 1 species
GACGUAGGGGGCCAGCGUUGUUCGGAAUUACUGGGUGUAAAGGGUUCGUAGGCGGUGCGGCAAGUUGGGAGUGAAAUCUCUGGGCUUAACCCAGAGGCUGCUUCCAAAACUGCUGUGCUUGAGUGUGGGAGAGGCGCGUGGAAUUGCAGGUGUAGUGGUGAAAUGCGUAGAUAUCUGCAGGAACACCCGUGGCGAAAGCGGCGCGCUGGACCACUACUGACGCUGAGGAACGAAAGCUAGGGGAGCAAACAGG